UGGGGAAUUUUGGACAAUGGGCGAAAGCCUGAUCCAGCAAUGCCGCGUGUGUGAAGAAGGCCUUCGGGUUGUAAAGCACUUUUGUCCGGAAAGAAAUCCUUGGCUCUAAUACAGUCGGGGGAUGACGGUACCGGAAGAAUAAGCACCGGCUAACUACGUGCCAGCAGCCGCGGUAAUACGUAGGGUGCAAGCGUUAAUCGGAAUUACUGGGCGUAAAGCGUGCGCAGGCGGUUUGCUAAGACCGAUGUGAAAUCCCCGGGCUCAACCUGGGAACUGCAUUGGUGACUGGCAGGCUAGAGUAUGGCAGGAGGGGGGUAGAAUUCCACGUGUAGCAGUGAAAUGCGUAGAGAUGUGGAGGAAUACCGAUGGCGAAGGCAGCCCCCUGGGCCAAUACUGACGCUCAUGCACGAAAGCGUGGGGAGCAAACAGGAUUAGAUACCCUGGUAGUCCACGCCCUAAACGAUGUCGAACUAGUUGUUGGGGAUUCAUUCCUUAGUAACGUAGCUAACGCGUGGAAGUUGACCGCC
rnacentral:rRNA from 1 species